ACCUGCACCCAGUGCUUCCUAUAUGAACUCCAUCCCUGACACUUCGCCAAAGGAGUGGUGUGUCUACGUGGAUGAAUCAAGUCAGGAUCAAAGGAUUUUACAGAGCCUCCAUGUUAUUUUCCCGCCGUUUAACAGUCAUACAGGGAGAAAUCCUUCACAAGGGAGGAAACACAGAAACCAAUUUCUGCACCCUGAGGGGCAGGAAAUCAGGCAAAAUGCAAUUCAGCAACAAGACAGUUUGAAGAAGAAUGCAUUCUGGGAAACAGGAAAUCACCGCAGCAGAUGAGGGGAGCAGAAAAAAUGAGCGCACCAGAAAACUACACCGAAAAUCACCCAACCAGAGAGAAGCCCAGGAUGUUUGUGCCUGUGAAAGUCCAGCACCAGCUCCUUGGUUGUUCCAGAGUUGAUUGAGUCCUCAGCCAUCUGCUUUGGCCUGAGGAAGGUCAACCCACCAAAGAAUCGCCACCAUAAUACACUGGAGGGGUCUUACAGCUUACAGCCGUAUUAGCUGGACCAACACUCCCUACCAGGUUCUCCCAAGCCUGUCUUUUAUCCUGUCUACCUUCUCUCUCCCCAGCCCGUCACACCAGAUGGCCGGCCCUCCCUAAGCCUGGUUCUGCUGGAGGUUUCUUCAUGUUAAAAGGGAGUUUUCCUUCGCACUGCUGCCAAAGUGCUUGCUCGUAAGGGUCAUAUGAUUGUCAUGUUUUUGUUAUGUUUGUUGGGAUAUAUGUUGCUUCAUAUGCAAGAAAAGCCACUGUGCUUCCAUAAAAUGAUGGGUCUAUAAUUUCAUCCUGACCACACAAUAAAUAUCUUGUUUAUUAAUCAGUAAAUGAUCACAAAGCACUUUGGGCUCUUUAGUUAUUCCAUCGCUGAAGUUUGAGAUGAGAAGUUACAUUUUCAGUUAGCAGCAGCUCAUUGGAUCACUGCGGGGCUGUUUUACCUCUCUAAUAACAGGCUUGGUGUCGCCACUGCAGCUCCAGCCAUUUGUCUCCAGACUAAUGGUGUUUACAAGCCCCUGAUGCACACUUAAAUUGUUUUUUAAAUCAUGUUUAACUGGCCCGUUCCUCGUCUUUAGCCAUUUUGUUCCUUAUCGUGCAUUCUCCAUCUCACCAUCGCAUCAGCACUCCUCUGGGACUCACUGUAUUGCGAAAUUUCUUCCAAAUCACAGCAGAGCUCUGCCAUUAUUAAAGUGCCUGUCUGAGGUCCAGCUGUCUGUCUCUGAGUGUGCACACACAUCAUAUGAUAAUGUGUUUUUAGGCUGUGACUCUGUCAUUUGCCGCAGAGCCCACUGAUGUCGGGUGAAAUGCAUCUCUAUCAGGUGUCCUCAGCAAACCCCUGUGUCCUUAUCGACGCUUCAUCUCUGUGAUGUUAACGGAGCCACUUAUCACCUGAUCUUAUUAAUCUGAGAGCAACACCAGCCUGCUCUCUCACGUUAUCAGUGUGAUUUAUCUCUCAGGAGAAGCAGGUCUAAUCUGAUAGAUAUUACACUUGAAUUAACCCUUCAGGAGCUACUUCAGUGAUCGAUACAAGCCUUUGCUAUUAAAUAAAAAGCUGAGAACAAACAUCUGCUGCCAUCGAGUGGUUUGUAUGAAUCGGAUUUAGAUUAAUUUGUUACUGUAACUGUUUACAAACAGAAUCUCAGUUUCAGUAUGAAAUGGUAAUGAAUAAUGUCUUUCUAUUGGAGUCCUAAAUGAUUUUGAUUAACAGCUGUCGACAGGGUGACCACAUACCAGCAAAGUAAAUGUGGAACAAAUUA